UAUGUUAAGUUAGACUGAUAGACCCUACCAAGUUAUAAAAUGAUAAUAAUAAUAGUAAUAAUAAUAGCUUCAAAUAAUUAUAAGACACGUCAUUUUCAUUCUAACCCUGCAAUAUGUAGUAUUAUUAUCACUGUUUUAUUGUUGAGAUAAUUGAGAAAUAGAGAAAGUAACUUAUCCCAAAUCACAUAGUUAGCACAUGGCAGAGCUCUAUUUAAAGUAAGCCUGGCUUUUGUUAACUUUUUUCUCUGACUGUC
rnacentral:lncRNA from 1 species